AUUGAACGCUGGCGGCAGGCCUAACACAUGCAAGUCGAGCGGCAGCGGGAAAGUAGCUUGCUACUUUUGCCGGCGAGCGGCGGACGGGUGAGUAAUGCCUGGGAAAUUGCCCAGUCGAGGGGGAUAACAGUUGGAAACGACUGCUAAUACCGCAUACGCCCUACGGGGGAAAGCAGGGGACCUUCGGGCCUUGCGCGAUUGGAUAUGCCCAGGUGGGAUUAGCUAGUUGGUGAGGUAAUGGCUCACCAAGGCGACGAUCCCUAGCUGGACUGAGAGGAUGAUCAGCCAAGCUGGAACUGAGACACGGUCCAGACUCCUACGGGAGGCAGCAGUGGGGAAUAUUGCACAAUGGGGGAAACCCUGAUGCAGCCAUGCCGCGUGUGUGAAGAAGGCCUUCGGGUUGUAAAGCACUUUCAGCGAGGAGGAAAGGUUGAUGCCUAAUACGUAUCAACUGUGACGUUACUCGCAGAAGAAGCACCGGCUAACUCCGUGCCAGCCGCCGCAGUAACAC
rnacentral:rRNA from 1 species